CUGUGAUUGUGUUGCCAUGUAAAAUGUACACCUUAUCACUUUUCUCUGGUCAUGAUAAAAGACAAACUUAAAAGCUACUACCUUGGUAAUAUGCAAUAAAUAACUGUGGAAUGAAUUAUGCACAAAUAAUUACAUAGCUGAUGCCAAUACAGUAUACCUUGUGUCUCUACAGAUUUCUGGAAACUCCUCUCAAUAAUGAGCCUGAACCAGAUUGUUCUGAUCUUCCCUUUAUCUGGGUGCAUGCCUCAAGCCAGUAGGGAAGGUUCCCGGCAAGUUAGAUGCUCCCAUCUCUACUUAGUGGCUACCAAGAGGCUUAUCCCAAGAAAAGCUGGGAAAGUCCAUCUUAGGAACCUUGUCACUGAUUUUUGUUUCCCAAGAAUCAUUGGUAAAGAACAUCCCACCUCACACCACAACCUAGCUAAUGACUAGCAGAAUGACUAGUGUCCAUCCCUCAGCCCUGGGGACUACUCUGAUGCGGCAGAGGCUGCAGAAACCCUGCUGACCAGGCAUGGAAGCCCAUUCCCUUCACCCAACAAUGCUGGCACAAUUCACCCAAGCUGUGAAGUGAUCCCUGUCUCAGAUAAGUGAACUAAAAACAUUAAUUUAAAAAAGAGAAAGAGGUCAUUUCAUUAUUUCUGGAGGCAAGCUCAAACUGAAGGAGUAAAGAGUCCUAGAAUCAAAUUUCUAUUUCUUUAAUCAGAACAUCCUCCCGCUACUAUGGCUAACUUUAUUUCCAUGUGUUUGUUUAUUUGUCAUUUUUCCAUGUGUUUAUUUGUCACUUUUCGAUGUGUUUGUCUAUUUGUCAUUUUUCCAGAAGUACUUGAGGUAAUAUAACCUCUCUGAGAUCCAGUGAUGUGAAGGCAGAGGAAAAAAAGAAAGAAAAAAAUUAAACAAAAAAAAAAUUGAACUUUUUCAUGAUGUGUCAAGAGAAAGCAGAUAUACCCACCCUCUGCCUAAUCAUUGUGGUGAAGUUUUUGGAAUUUAAUGGUGGAGGUUGCAAUAGAAAGGAUGAAAUGUAUUUCAUUAUCAAAAAACUCUGGGAAAAUAAUUUUUCAGCAAUGUGAGUACUCUCUCUGUGUAACUACCACAGUGGGCAGAAGUUGGUCAUUCUGUACCUGGUUAGAACUAUUUCCUGUUAGUCUCCCUUCAUUUAAAGGAUAUAAAAUCUGCUUCUGUGUCAGAUACAGAGUACCUGUGAAUAUAAAAGCAACAGAAUAGUUUUCGUCUUACAUCUCCGCUUAUAAAUAAUGAGGUUUGUUUUGAAUUUUAUUUUUCUUCUUUGUAGUUAAGAGCAGAUGCUGAAAACUGACUGCAUUUGUUGGGGUUGCUCAGCAAGAAAGUGGGGGGCAGUGAGUGACUCACCAAAACUGAGGGAUAGAGAAAGGACAAUAGAAUAACAACAGAGAAAAAGACGAAGACAGCAAGGAGCUUCCUACUGCAUGUCGUCUUGUUGAAAGGCAAUGGUCUGCCUCUUGCUACCAACCCCAGCAGGGUGAGAACUUCUCCUGCUCUGUCCCGGUAGGCAGUGUGUAUACAUGUGACUUUGCAUCAGCUCAUCGGAUGCCCCAAACCAGAUCUUUGUCUCUGAAGUGAAGAUUACAAAGAAUGAAAAACAGCAAGAAUUCUUUCAAGGCUGCAGAGGAGACUAUGUCCUAAAGCCUCAGAAGACCUGGUCUGUUUCUGCUAAAAAAAAAAAUACACGUUGUGCUUCUGGCUUUUUGGCUGUAAGAAUCUAUCUUGAUGCCAGGCCUGGUUCUCAGCUGCUCAUUGCCUCUGUGACCCUACAUACCUUUCUAAUAAUUCAUAACUUUUGCUUAAGCAAAUUAGAGUAAGUUUCCAUUUUUUGUAACCAAUUGCAUUGUAAAAGAUGCAAAUAUUGAGAAGAGACUCAGUCUCAGUCCUGCCAUUCAAGAUCUUCUCUCCCCAAAAUAAAUUCUGAAAGUUAUCAAAUUGGCAGUUUUAUGUAAUAGGAGUUACAGCAUUAGAUAAUAAUAAUUCCUCUGCCUCAAAACAAGUUGUCCCAAAGUAAUAAAAUGUACUAAGUUCUGUGAUCUUGAAAUUAGGAGGAAGUAAAAACUUGUUCCUUCUUAUAUCUGGAACCUAGAACUCUAAUAUUUAUUUGUUUUAAAAAGGUCACUAUCAUAAAUGUUCUCAAUAAAAAUAUUAAAUGA